GACGAACGCUGGCGGCGUGCUUAACACAUGCAAGUCGAACGGAAAGGCCCUGCUUGUGUGGGGUGCUCGAGGGGCGAACGGGUGAGUAACACGUGAGUAACCUGCCCUUGACUUUGGGAUAACUUCAGGAAACGGGGGCUAAUACCGGAUAGGAGCUCCUGCGGCAUGGUGGGGGUUGGAAAGUUUCGGCGGGUGGGGAUGGACUCGCGGCUUAUCAGCUUGUUGGGGGGGUAGUGGCUUACCAGGGCUUUGCCGGGUAGCCGGCCUGAGAGGGUGACCGGCCACAUUGGGACUGAGAUCCGGCCCAGACUCCUCCGGGAGGCAGCAGUGGGGAAUAUUGCCCAAUGGGCGGAAGCCUGAUCCAGCAACGCCGCGUGCGGGAUGACGGCCUUCGGGUUGUAACCCGCUUCCGCCUGUGCCGAAGCGUGAGUGACGGUAAUGGGUAAAGAAGCACCGGCUAACUACGUG
rnacentral:rRNA from 1 species